rnacentral:rRNA from 1 species
UAACACGUAGGAACCUAUCAUGCAGUGGGGGAUACCGUUGGGAAACCGGCGUUAAUACCGCAUGGGGUCACCGAGCAAUCGGUGAGCAAAGCCUCAAUUGAGGCGCUGGAUGAGGGGCCUGCGGCCGAUUAGCUGGUUGGUGGGGUAAGGGCCUACCAAGGCGACCAUCGGUAGCUGGUCUGAGAGGAUGGUCAGCCACACUGGGACUGAGACACGGCCCAG